rnacentral:misc_RNA from 1 species
CUCUCUCUCUCUCUCUCCUUUUUCCUGAUUAAUAAAUUUUAAUUAAUUUCAUAAAAGAGGCGAAGCUUACCCCUUGACUAGUUCCUUGCCAAGAUUAUAAAUCAAUUACUACAAAUUGACUAAAAAAUAUCUAAAAUAUUCAGUGAAAAUUGUGUCUAACCAAACAAAUUAGCAAAUUGUGGAUGUAAUGAGUUUUAUGAUGAUCAGCCAAAGGAGGUCGACCAGGUUCAUUCUUUCCAAUCCCAGUUGCAAUUAAUUUGGUCCCAUAAUUAAAUAUGGAAAAAAAUCAUAUUAAAAAAAAUCACCAUCAUCGUGGUCGUCGUACAUUCAAAUAGGUGUGUAUAAUUGGUACUGAUUCCUGAGCAGGGUCAAACUCCAAGGGGCUGAAGAGAAUGGCUAACAACGCAGCCAAUCCUGCCCUGGAUCCCGAUCUAGAUCAACCCGAUAAUCCUAGUCACGAGUUUGCUGAGUUCGGAGCAGGGUGUUUCUGGGGGGUGGAGCUGGGGUUUCAGCGAGUGGUUGGGGUGGUGAAGACGGAGGUCGGAUACUCUCAAGGUCACGUCCACGAUCCUAAUUACAAACUCGUUUGCACCGGCGCUACUAACCACGUCGAGGUCGUGCGCGUCCAAUUUGACCCUGAAGUUUGCCCAUAUACCAACCUCCUCUCUCUUUUCUGGGCUUGCCACGAUCCCACAAGCCUCAAUCGCCAGGGUGGUGAUGUGGGUGCCCAGUAUAGGUCGGGAAUAUACUACUACAACGAGACGCAAGCUCUUCUAGCCCAAGAAUCAAAGGAAGCUAAGCAGUUGGAAUUGAAGGACAAGAAGAUUGUCACUGAAAUUCUGCCAGCAAAAAGAUUUUACAGAGCUGAGGAGUACCACCAGCGGUAUCUGGAAAAGGGAGGACGUAAGGGAGCCAAGCAGUCUGCUGAGAAGGGUUGCACUGACCCCAUAAGAUGUUAUGGUUAAAAGCUGUAAAAGUAUGCCAAGUGUGAAAUUGUGGCUUCGUACUUGUUGAAAAUUGGCAGCAUUUUUCUGUAAUAUUUGUCUAUGCAUCUGAUGUUUCUCAUGGCAUCUUAGUGAUAAUAAGCUGCCCUAUUUUUUCUGCGUUUCCUUUCUCUGUUUCCUCUCCUGUUCAUUUAUUAAUACUUGUGAGCCGUGGCAUUUGAAAAUUUCUUGAGAACUUGGAUGUUCUGCUUGGCAGGAGGUCAAUUGCAAUGGAAUUUUGUGGACACUUGGUAAUCACAUGCAGUAGAAAUGAUCUUGAAAGAUUUAUUCGUUACUAAACGGGAAACAGUGUUCAAUUGAUACAUCAUCAGUGAAUCUUUGUGUCACUAAAAUUAUUCAAUCAAAGAAACAUGAGGCUGAACUGUUAGUAGAAGUCCAUGGCAGCAUAUAGUUUAGAGUUCAUCCUUGGGAGAAGAUGUAACUCCUGUAGGACUUUUUGAGGUGUUCUUGAUGGGAUACGAGGCCUCCAUCGCUAUACCACAGAGUCCCUCUUUCUCUGAGGUGCCACGCUGCAUCCUUAUGUAACCCUUCUCUCCCCAUUCUGGUCCCCAGGAAUUCUUCACAAUCCAGUACUUGGUUCCAUCAAGAGUUGUUCCAUAACCCACGAUUGUGACUCCAUGAUCCAGCUCUGUUCCACAACUUCCAGUAAAUACCCCCUGCGGUCAUACUCAGCCAAAUUAAGAGAGGAUCUAACUGUUCUCUACCAUCAAAACAAUUAUAUUCUGAAAAUUUUUCACACAUGACACUACCAAUUAAUUAGUCCAGCUAUUGGUGAUUGCUCAAUUUGGUUUGCGUUAAAGUGAGUUAAACAACUUGUAAAAUGUUUAGUUUAGACGAAUAAUAAAGUUCCCCUCUGAGUAGAACUGGAAAUCUGAACCUCCAGCAUCAAUGGCCACAGAUACAGGCUGGUUUGCCACUACUUUAAGUAAUGCAUUCUCAUUAUUUACAGGAACCUUCUCAUACCCAUCAAUAGAGACUGCAGGUGCAUUCUCCUGGAAUUGUUGCAAUUGUAAUUAAGCAAUAAUAUUGUAACGGCAGCAAUUUGUUACCUCAACUAAAUGUAGUUCAAAGUAAAUGGAAAAUGGAUAUCAACCUUUGAAACAUCACAAGUUCCAUCCUCAGCUUUGUAAGGGUAAUUAGCCUCAGUUGUUAUGCCUUCUUGUUUCUUAAUGAACUCAAAUGCAUAAUCCAUAAGCCCUCCAUUGCAUCCUUGGUUCUCAUCAAUGUCACAAUCCACCAACUCUUGCUCGGACAAAGACACUAGCUUAUAGUCUUGAUUUGAUUAAUACCCUCAACUGCUGCGAUGGUUGAAAAUGCCCAGCAACUACCUCAUUGGCCUUGGUCCUUAACACCAGUGACCGCACCUUUCUUUCUCCAAUCAACGGAUGGCGGGACUCUUUCCAACUUCUCAUACAUGAAGCUUCCAUUUCCCUGUGGUGCCCCUUGAAACAUCAGAUGAUGAUUAAUCUUUGAGCCAGCAUAAGUGCUCCUAAAUUCAUAGCUGGUCAUGUCUGCAAACUUGUUCAGCUUCAACUUAUAAGGCUUAUCCAGCUUGUUAGUGUUGUGAACGUGCAUGACAUUGUGCUUGAAAACAUUAAAACGCUUGUGUUUCUCAUGAAGACUCCUAGAAACAGUAUAAUGGCUUCUCCACCUCUCGUACAAAUCCUGCAAACUUUCCUCAGAUGACAAAUCAUUUUCAUGGAAAUCAAAACUCUCUGCAAUUCCUAGAACCAAAGCCAACGAGAGAGCUGCAAGUGGAAACCUCUUCAUUGACAUUUUGCU